rnacentral:misc_RNA from 1 species
AACUCUCAACCUCCUUUCCUUUGUGAUCGGCUGGUUGGAUCAUGGGCGCUUGCCGGCCAGGUCGGCUCGCCUGAAAUGCAUUUGCGAUGUUGUGUCCUUGUGAGUUGGCCCGACUAGGCGUGAUGGUAACGACGUUCGUCUAGGAUCCCGCUUCGGCGAGGAGCCGCUCCUGUUGGGCGUUUGCCUUCGCAUGAACACUCGUAUCUUUGG